CCUACGGGAGGCAGCAGUGAGGAAUAUUGGUCAAUGGACGAGAGUCUGAACCAGCCAAGUAGCGUGAAGGAUGACUGCCCUAUGGGUUGUAAACUUCUUUUAUAAAGGAAUAAAACGAGGCACGUGUGCCUUUUUGCAUGUACUUUAUGAAUAAGGAUCGGCUAACUCCGUGCCAGCAGCCGCGGUAAUACGGAGGAUCCGAGCGUUAUCCGGAUUUAUUGGGUUUAAAGGGAGCGUAGAUGGGUUGUUAAGUCAGUUGUGAAAGUUUGCGGCUCAACCGUAAAAUUGCAAUUGAUACUGGAAGUCUUGAGUACAGUUGAGGUAGGCGGAAUGCGUGGUGUAGCGGUGAAAUGCUUAGAUAUCACGAAGAACCCCGAUUGCGAAGGCAGCUUACUAAGCUGUGACUGACAUUGAUGCUCGAAAGUGUGGGUAUCAAACAGGAUUAGAUACCCGAGUAGUC
rnacentral:rRNA from 1 species